rnacentral:rRNA from 1 species
UACGAAGGGAGCUAGCGUUGCUCGGAAUCACUGGGCGUAAAGCGCACGUAGGCGGAUUGUUAAGUCAGGGGUGAAAUCCUGGAGCUCAACUCCAGAACUGCCUUUGAUACUGGCGAUCUUGAGUCCGGGAGAGGUGAGUGGAACUGCGAGUGUAGAGGUGAAAUUCGUAGAUAUUCGGAAGAACACCAGUGGCGAAGGCGACACACUGGCCCAUUACUGACGCUGAGGCUCGAAAGCGUGGGGAGCGAACAGG